rnacentral:rRNA from 1 species
CUUAACGGUAGAAUUGCUAGAGGAACUGUAUAGAUUGAGCAUAGAAGGGGGAUGCGGAACUCCUGGUGGAGAGGUGAAAUUCGUAGAUAUCAGGAGGAACACCAGCGGAGAAAUCGGCAUCCUGGUCUAUAGCUGACGCUGAGGUGCGAAAGCGUGGGUAGCGAACGGGAUUAGAGACCCCGGUAGUCCACGCCCUAAACGAUGGAUACUUGAUGUUCAGGGUUAAACCUGAGUGUCGAAGUUAACGCGAUAAGUAUCCCACCUGGGGAGUAAGGUCGCAAGACCCAAACUCAAAGGAAUUGACGGGGGCCCGCACAAGCGGUGGAACAUGUGGUUUAAUUCGAUGCAACGCGCAGAACCUUACCUGGACUUGACAUAUGUCUGCCACUGGCAUGAAAGUGCCGGGUUCACUACCAAUUGAGGUAGUGACAG